GUUUUCUGACUCCACGAGUCAAUUUAGGAGGAGGCUUGAGGGGUAUUGGGGGAUUGUGGGACCAACUACAGAGCGGUUCUGGGUCAUACGUUUCUGCGUCUUUAUGGCAUCCGAUUCAUUAAGUUCGUCAGUACCAUCCUCAUAUCCUCCAACCUCCUCUCUGCAGUUAGCUUGUCCUCCAUUGCAGGUCGAAGCCUUGUAUCAGUUAUCAAACGGCUCCAGCUAAGGAAAGGGCAUCGUCUUCUUCCCCCUUUGACUGAUCAGGAACGAUAAAAGGAAUAUAAUGUCAUCGAAGCAGCUCCGAUGGGCAUCGAUCGUGGGUGGUUCGGGAAGUUACUCUGGGGUUCGUCCGAUUCGAAGAAAUAAGGAGACGAUAGUGAUGGUUCUUGGCCUGGUGAUGGCAGGGGGUAGUCGACCUGCGAUGGCCCUUUUUUUGGUUUGCUCUUCGUCAUCGAUACUCACUAAUCGAGGGAAGAGAAACAACUACGAGGGGUGACAUCGGCGUUGGUGGGUCAACAAGUAAAGGCAGAGGGAAACGGGGAACAGAAGGCAGAUCAGGGAAGGAAGGAAUAUGAAUGAAAUCAAGAAAUCAGUGGGUCGGUGGCUCUUAAUCGAUCACUAGGAGGGAUCGAUGUCUCGAGACUGUCAAAGGUUGCAGGUAAAUGGAUGGGGCUGCUUCAGCAGUUAAUUAUGUGAAGAAUAGCAAGUGGCAGUUAUCAUAAUCCUCAGAGAUAAUUUCUCUCUAUCUCUUUCCCCCCUUCGUCUUCUUUGAUUUGUUCUUUGUUUUUCAGUGUACAGAGUCAUAUACAUACAAAUCAAUAAUCAAUCACCAAGUUUUUUCGUU